GGGCGCAUAAUAGCUUGGAGGUCCCACCUGAUCCCUUCCCGAACUCAGAAGUGAAACUCCAAUGCGCCAAUGGUAGUGUGGUUCGCCCAUGUGAGAGUAGGUCAUCGUCAGCUC
rnacentral:rRNA from 1 species